AACGAACGCUGGCGGCAGGCUUAACACAUGCAAGUCGAACGCAUCCUUCGGGGUGAGUGGCAGACGGGUGAGUAACGCGUGGGAACGUGCCCUUCAGUUCGGGAUAACCCAGGGAAACUUGGGCUAAUACCGGAUACGUGCGAGAGCAGAAAGAUUUAUCGCUGAAGGAUCGGCCCGCGUCUGAUUAGCUAGUUGGUGGGGUAAUGGCCCACCAAGGCGACGAUCAGGAGCUGGUCUGAGAGGAUGAUCAGCCACAUUGGGACUGAGACACGGCCCAGACUCCUACGGGAGGCAGCAGUGGGGAAUAUUGGACAAUGGGCGCAAGCCUGAUCCAGCCAUGCCGCGUGAGUGAUGAAGGCCUUAGGGUUGUAAAGCUCUUUCGUCCGGGACGAUAAUGACGGUACCGGAAGAAGAAGCCCCGGCUAACUUCGUGCCAGCCGCCGCGGUAA
rnacentral:rRNA from 1 species